AUUGAUUUAUCAGUGUGUGUCCCAGAAAGAGACACUGCAUUUCAGCAUCAUGGUAUUGUGAUGUAGUUAGGUUCUGAAUUCUCUGAGCCACAGACGAUGGUAUGUUUCUCCUCUCUGAAGCUCUGCUAAUGCCUCGUCCUUAUUUCCCUGAAAUAUGGUUUCCCCCAUCAGUUUUCAACCUUUUCAUUCCCCCAAGCAAUCUUCUGAUGAUUCUUUAAGGUCCCCAGAUCUACAGAAUGUGACAGCUGGGAUGGGUUUCCGGGGGUGUCGACUGCAAGCUUUACAGGCUCUAAGACUUGAUACUGAAUCUCAGCUCUGGUAUUAGUCGGUGUUCUUGGAUUUCAGGCUGGAUGACAGGGUCAAGAUGUCAGCCCCCCAAAUCCAUCACUGGAAAGAAACUCGGGGCCAGCCCGUCUCCUAAAAGCUGAGUAUGUUGCACAGAUUGCUGAUUCUAAAUAGGAUAUUCUAAUAAACAUUGCUAUUAUUUUUA